GUCAUCUCUAGCUCAGUUGGUUGGAGGAUGGUGCUGAUAAUGCCAAGGUCACAGGUUUGAUCCCUGAAUGAGACA
rnacentral:tRNA from 1 species